rnacentral:tRNA from 1 species
GGAGGAGUAGCGAAGUGGCUAAACGCGGCUGACUGUAACUCAGUUCCUUUGGUUCGGUGGUUCGAAUCCGCCCUCCUCCA